CAGUCGCCGCGGUAAAACGGAGGGGGCUAGCGUUGUUCGGAAUUACUGGGCGUAAAGCGCACGUAGGCGGCUUGGUAAGUUAGAGGUGAAAGCCUGGAGCUCAACUCCAGAAUUGCCUUUAAGACUGCCGAGCUAGCAGGUGAGAGAGGUAAGUGGAAUUCCGAGUGUAGAGGUGAAAUUCGUAGAUAUUCGGAAGAACACCAGUGGCGAAGGCGGCUUACUGGCUCAUACUGGACGCUGAGGUGCGAAAGCGUGGGGAGCAAACAGGAUUAGAUACCCGAGUAGUCCCUGUCUCUUAUAC
rnacentral:rRNA from 1 species